rnacentral:lncRNA from 1 species
UUAUGAAUGUCACUAAUUAACUAUUAUUUCUUUAGGAACAAGAUUUAAUUUUUGAAAUUUAAAUUAGGUUUCCUCUAAAGUUGAUUUCACCACACCAUAUGAGAUAUGAUUGUUAGAAUUUUAUGGUUUCAUAUACGCAUGAUUUUACAAAACUAGUAUACAGUAAAAUUUAAAAAUUUUUCAGAUUAAAUCUAAUUUAAUCUAAACAUGCAUAAUAUCAAAUAUUCAAACCAUAAAUAGGAUCAUCAUA